AUGCGGCAGCUACCACUGCGACUCCUGCGCUCUGCGGCGGCCGGAUCACUCCGGAGCCCCACCCUCUCACGUGGCGGCUGUCCUGUCCCUCUAGCGCCACAUCUGUCGGCGGAGGCAGCCGCCACGCCGGCCGAGCUUGCCCGCUGGCUACCGCGGAGAGGGUACUCCCGGUUCGCGAGCGGAAUCACCCCCUUGGAGCCGAAGAAGCUGGGAUCCAUCCUCGACGUCGAGCGCGCCAAGGGCCUCUCCCCCGAACACCUCGUCGCGGCAUGGGAUGACUACCACUUGGGAAGAGGUCAUAUAGGUGUAUCUAUUAAAGCAAAGCUUUACCGUCCCUUGGAACAAAGAUCGGCUACAUGCCCAUAUUUUGUUAUUCCUUUGUGGAGAGGAAGUGGAUGUACCACCAUGUUUAUGCAAGGUGCCCAGGCCGCCCCAUCCACGCUCCAGGCGGACCGCGGCGCCCACGCUCGAGGCUCCCGGGCCGCCCCGUCCAUGCUCCAGGCGGACCACGGCGCCAUAGCUCCAGGCGCCCGGACCGCCACGCUCACGCUCCAGCCGCUCGGGCCGCCGCGUCCAUGCACCGCCCGGACACAGGCACCGCCGGUCCUCCACACUGCAGGUGCUUUCCCCUCACAUUCUUCCUGGUUGCAGUGA
rnacentral:rRNA from 1 species